GGGGGCUCCUGGGUAUAAAUCAAUUUUUUUUUCUAAUAUAGGAUUUCGCUAUAUUGUUUUAUAAAUGAACUUUAUCAUAUACAUAAAAGAAAAAUGAAAUUAAAAAAAUGGGGUUACCGUUCAUUUAAGCUCACAAUCUGCCUCCGGAAGAAGCAUACAUUUUUGUUAAUGUCCUUUUUUCUGUUGAACUAAUAGGAGAAAUAGAGGUAAUAUCGAAAUAUAAAAAAAUAACCUAAUUACAGAAAUCGCUUAAAUUUUACAAUUAUUUAGUUUAUGUACAGUUUAUAUGAAAACAAUAAUAAAAAAAUAUAGGUCACCG
rnacentral:lncRNA from 1 species